AAAGCUCGUAGUUGAAUUUCGGGAUCAAUAUUUCGGUCAUGCCGUUGGUAUGCACUGUUAUCAUUGAUUUCUCACCUUCUAAAGAACCGUAAUGCCAUUAAUUUGGUGUUACGGGGAAUUAGGACUGUUACCUUGAAAAAAUUAGAGUGUUUAAAGCAGGCUCACGCUUGAAUACAUUAGCAUGGAAUAAUGAAAUAGGACAUCCGAUUCUAUUUUGUUGGUUUCUAGGAUCGAUGUAAUGAUUAAUAGGGAUAGUUGGGGGCAUUAGUAUUCAAUUGUCAGAGGUGAAAUUCUUGGAUUUAUUGAAGACUAACUACUGCGAAAGCAUUUGCCAAGGAUGUUUUCAUUAAUCAAGAACGAAAGUUAGGGGAUCGAAGACGAUCAGAUACCGUCGUAGUCUUAACCAUAAACUAUGCCGACUAGGGAUCGGAUGAUGUUAAUUUUUUAAUGACUCAUUCGGCACCU
rnacentral:rRNA from 1 species